UNGAAGCAACGCGAAGAACCUUACCAGGUCUUGACAUCUUCUGACACUCCUAGAGAUAGGACGUUCCCCUUCGGGGNNCAGAGUGACAGGUGGUGCAUGGUUGUCGUCAGCUCGUGUCGUGAGAUGUUGGGUUAAGUCCCCCAACGACCGCAACCCGUGAUUUUUGUUUCCAGCAUUUAUUCGGGCACUAUAAGGCGACUGCCGGUGCCAAACCGGAGGAAGGUGGGGAUGAUCUCAAAUCAUCAUGCCCCUUAUGACCUGGGGUACACACGUGAUACAAUGGAUGGUACAAAGGGCAGCAAAGCGGUGACGCCUAGCAAAUCCCAUAAAACCAUUCUCAGUUCGGAUUGUAGGCUGCAACUCGCCUACAUGAAGCUGGAAUCGUUAGUAAUCGCGGAUCAGCAUGCCGCGGUGAAUACGUUCCCGGGCCUUGUACACACC
rnacentral:rRNA from 2 species